UACGUAGGCAGCAAGCGUUGUUCGGAUUUAUUGGGCGUAAAGGGUGCGUAGGCGGUUUGGCAAGUCUGAUGUGAAAUCUAUGGGCUCAACCCAUAGUCUGCAUCAGAAACUGCCGGGCUUGAGUAUGGGAGAGGUGAGUGGAAUUUCCGGUGUAGCGGUGAAAUGCGUAGAUAUCGGAAGGAACACCUGUGGCGAAAGCGGCUCACUGGACCAUAACUGACGCUGAUGCACGAAAGCUAGGGGAGCAAACAGG
rnacentral:rRNA from 1 species